UGGGGAAUAUUGCACAAUGGGCGAAAGCCUGAUGCAGCAACGCCGCGUGAGUGAUGAAGGUCUUCGGAUUGUAAAGCUCUGUCUUUUGGGACGAUAAUGACGGUACCAAAGGAGGAAGCCACGGCUAACUACGUGCCAGCAGCCGCGGUAAUACGUAGGUGGCGAGCGUUGUCCGGAUUUACUGGGCGUAAAGGGUGCGUAGGCGGAUGUUUAAGUGAGAUGUGAAAUACCCGGGCUUAACUUGGGUGCUGCAUUUCAAACUGGAUAUCUAGAGUGCAGGAGAGGAGAAUGGAAUUCCUAGUGUAGCGGUGAAAUGCGUAGAGAUUAGGAAGAACACCAGUGGCGAAGGCGAUUCUCUGGACUGUAACUGACGCUGAGGCACGAAAGCGUGGGUAGCAAACAGGAUUAGAUACCCUGGUAGUCCACGCCGUAAACGAUGAGUACUAGGUGUAGGAGGUAUCGACCCCUUCUAUGCCGCAGUAAACACAUUAAGUACUCCGCCUGGGAAGUACGAUCG
rnacentral:rRNA from 1 species